UACAGAGGUCUCAAGCGUUGUUCGGAAUCACUGGGCGUAAAGGGUGCGUAGGCGGCGAGGAAAGUCAGAUGUGAAAUCCGAGGGCUCAACCCUCGAAUAGCAUCCGAUACUUCCCUGCUCGAGAUUUGUAGAGGAGUCUGGAACUCUCGGUGUAGCAGUGAAAUGCGUGGAUAUUGAGAAGAACGCUCGUAGCGAAGGCGAGGCUCUGGGCAAAUUCUGACGCUGAGGCACGAAGGCUAGGGGAGCAAACGGG
rnacentral:rRNA from 1 species